rnacentral:rRNA from 1 species
UACGAAGGGGGCUAGCGUUGCUCGGAAUCACUGGGCGUAAAGCGCACGUAGGCGGACUCUUAAGUCGGUGGUGAAAUCCUGGAGCUCAACUCCAGAACUGCCUUCGAUACUGGGAGUCUCGAGUUCGGGAGAGGUGAGUGGAACUGCGAGUGUAGAGGUGAAAUUCGUAGAUAUUCGCAAGAACACCAGUGGCGAAGGCGGCUCACUGGCCCUAACUGACGCUGAGGCACGAAAGCGUGGGGAGCAAACCAGG